rnacentral:rRNA from 1 species
GACGUAGGGCGCGAGCGUUGUCCGGAUUUAUUGGGCGUAAAGAGCUCGUAGGCGGCUUGUCGCGUCGACUGUGAAAUCCCGAGGCUCAACUUCGGGCUUGCAGUCGAUACGGGCAGGCUAGAGUUCGGGUAGGGGAGACUGGAAUUCCUGGUGUAGCGGUGAAAUGCGCAGAUAUCAGGAGGAACACCGGUGGCGAAGGCGGUGGUCUGGGCCGGUACUGACGCUGAGGAGCGAAAGCGGUGGGGAGAACAGG